rnacentral:rRNA from 1 species
UUAAAUUGAAGAGUUUGAUCAUGGCUCAGAUUGAACGCUGGCGGCAGGCCUAACACAUGCAAGUCGAACGGUAACAGGAAACAGCUUGCUGUUUCGCUGACGAGUGGCGGACGGGUGAGUAAUGUCUGGGAAACUGCCUGAUGGAGGGGGAUAACUACUGGAAACGGUAGCUAAUACCGCAUAAUGUCGCAAGACUAAAGAGGGGGACCUUCGGGCCUCUUGCCAUCGGAUGUGCCCAGAUGGGAUU